AUCCGAUCAUUGUCAUCCAUAAUUAUGACAGUUUCACUUACAAUCUUUGUCAGUAUAUAGGAGACCUGGGUUGCAACUUUGAGGUGUACCAAAAUGAUGAAUUUACUGUGGAGGAGUUAAAGAAGAAAAAUCCAAGAGGAGUUCUUAUAUCCCCAGGACCAGGUUUGAGGAUUUCCUAUCUUAUGAUUGUUUUAUAAUACACUAUCAUGUUUGUUGAGUGUAGUGUGUUUCCCACUUACAGGUACACCUCAGAAUU